CACGUUUGUUUUUCUGGCGAAAGAGGCGCAAGAUGAAUGCUUCUUGACAAGACUCGAUUAUUCUGUGGGCUCUAUACACCAAGAUGCCUGAGGGGGAGAAACAUAAUUUAAACUACAGAACAGGUGUGAGGGUAAAUCUGGCCCCCGUUCCUCCAUCUUGGCUGGAAGUGGAAGUCCCGGUGGAUAUUUUUGAGCCCCUGAUGUAUGCCAGGCACUGCUGUAAGCACUGAGUAUUCAAAGAUGAACAAAAUGAUGUGGCCCCAGUCUCCUAAAAUUUACUAUCAAGAGAAGAAGACAACAGCAUUACUGAACCAGGCACAAAGGAGUGUAGUAAAAGGACAUUUCUUACCCUGAGCCUGGAAAGGGCAUGGCAUUUGCAGCCUGGCAGAGUCUGAUUUUCACCCCAUUCCAUCCCAUCUGACUUCAUAGAUGGGGUCCUGCUAUGUUGCCUAGGAUCAUCUUGAACACAUGGCCUCAAGUGAUCCUCCUGCCUCGGCCUCCCAAAGUGCUGGAAUUACAGGCAUGAGUUACUGUGCCCGGCCUGUUUAUUUACUUAAAAUGCAUGAACAGAACAAGUUACUUCUCCAGAUUGGAAUAAAAUAGAGAAUGAAUUGUUUCUCCAGCUUGGGGUAAAAGAUAUCCCUAAUAUUUUAAUUUUUGUAAUUAGCUACCCCUCAUACUUAUGUUAACAACGAGUCCAAUAUCCUCCCUCUUCAGAGCUCCGACCUCUCUGAAGAUUAUACGUGAACGUGAACCCCAGGGUAAGACUUUAAGCUCUGAUCAAAGGGGAUACUUUGACUUUCAAAUACAGGCAAAGAGAGAAUUAAUGAUUUGGAAACUAGCUCACCUGGUGGCUUGGAACAGCUUUUGUUGGCUUCUGAGUAUCCUGCCUGCCUGCAGUGCGGGCCCCCUCCAUCACUCUAGCCUCUGCCUUCUGUUCAGUGAUGAUUUCCAGUGCUGGUCUAACCAGCCUUUCUUCACUUAACCCUGGGGCCUGGUGUUGAGGCUCUGCCACUGGUUCAGCGGUCCUCAUGGUGACAUGAUUCCUUGCUUUGUAGCCUUGGUGUCCGUUUCCCAAGACUCACAAUCCCAAUGCAUCCUGGAGGUACUAGCAUCACCACCACCAUUAUCAUCAUCAUCACCAGAGGAAGGAUUGCUCUUCAUUUCUCUCUUCCCAAAAUGCUUCUGGUCCUCUUGACAAAUUUGCCCCUGUCCUCCCCAUGUCCUUCUAGUACCCUUGCCAGGUCAAGGAUAUCAGAAGGGGCAGCACCUGCCAGGUCACAGGGGUCCCAUUAUUUCCCCCAGAGGAUAUUGGGCGCCUGUGAGCCUGAAACCUGCCCACCUAGGACUUUGGGGAAGAGGCUAAGUGGUUCUUCCCUAUAAGUCUUUUUGUGUCUACCUGGCCAGAGUAACAAACUCAGAUUCUCUUACAGAAACAUCCUAAGAAACAACUUACCAGGCACUCUGGUAUGAAAGUAGUGCCCGUUCGUUAUUGCUGAUUUAAGAAAUAUAGGUAAACAAUAAGAGAAUAAACAAUGAGAGAAAAUUAAGCCACUCGUUCACUCUUUAUUCUACCAUGUGGAGGCAGCCAGUGUCAACUUUUGUUAUGUAUGAUUUCAAUCUCUUUUCCAUUUACCUAC
rnacentral:lncRNA from 1 species